GUAGUUGUGGCCGAGUGGUUAAGGUGAUGGACUAAAAAUCCAUUGGGGUUGCCCCAUGCAGGUUCAAAUCCUAUCAACUACG